AAUCAACGCUGGCGGCGUGCCUAACACAUGCAAGUCGAACGAGAAAGGGGACUUCGGUCCCUGAGUACAGUGGCGCACGGGUGAGUAACACGUGACUUAUCUACCCUCGAGUGGGGAAUAACUUCGGGAAACCGAGGCUAAUACCGCAUAAUACCCACGGGUCAAAGGAGCAAUUCGCUUGAGGAGGAGGUCGCGGCCGAUUAGUUAGUUGGCGGGGUAAUGGCCCCACCCAAGACGGUGAUCGGUAUCCGGCCUGAGAGGGCGCACGGACACACUGGAACUGAAACACGGUCCAGACUCCUACGGGAGGCAGCAGUGGGGAAUUUUGCGCAAUGGGGGAAACCCUGACGCAGCAACACCGCGUGGAGGAUGAAGUCUCUUGGGACGUAAACUCCUUUCGAUCGGGACGAUUAUGACGGUACCGGAAGAAGAAGCCCCGGCUAACUUCGUG
rnacentral:rRNA from 1 species